GCCAAAAUUUUCUCUUGUUAAUCACUUUUUUCGGAUUUUUAGCCCACUAUUUUAGUUGCUUUGGGUAAGUUUUUUUGUUGAUGCCAUAUUUUAUUUGAAAACAUAGUUGUUUUAAAAUAUAAUAAAUUAGCAAUAAUUUAUAUUUGGUAGAACCCUUAAUUGUCUCAACAAGUUUUGUUCACGCCUUAAUUUUCUCAACAGGUUUGGUUAGUGGCCUAAGAUUUAGCUUAGUAUUUUUCAACUUUCCACCCAAAGAAAAGGGGCAAACCAGUUUCUUCCUUUUAAUUAUCUUUUCCUUAAUCCUAAGCCUAUUUCAGUUACCAUUCUAGAAAGGUUUUCUCCUUUAUUAUUCUACAGCUCUAAGCAAUUGGUUCUGGUUUACUCUUUGCUUCAUUAUUUCUCGUCUACAAAUUCUGAUUAUCAGGAUGACAAACACGCAUGUUUCUGCUAGUGUUGAAUCUUCUGGAGUAAUUUCAAACCCACAACCACGACGCCUUUGAAAUUCCAGAUACGCAACAUACUAGGGAUAUUAUCCUUCAUACAGGUAAUAAUUCGUAUCGAUAUCGUCGUAGUAGGCUCCAUGAUCAUUUUAAGAAAUUUGCUACAAAGGAGGAACGAUUGCAAAACAUAGGAGAAGAUGUCACUGAAGUUGAAUGGAAACUCUUGGUGGACUAUUUCGACUCUGAUCCUUUCAAGAGAAUGAGUGCUAGAAACAAAAUAAACAAAGCAAAACAAGGAAUCAAUCAUAUUUGCGGUAGAAAAUCCUUCGGGGCAAUCUCUUUUAAAAAGGAUAAAGUGAAUGAAUUGGUUGCAGAGCAAAUUCAAGAAAUCGAAGAGGGUACUGAUGAUAUGGACCCUAUUGUUAAUGCGUCCUUUAUGAAAAUUGUUGGAGAAAAGUCAGGCUAUUACCGCGGCCAAGGAUCGGGACUUAAGCUAACAAAUAAGUGAUCCAUGCAAGGUCUUCAAGAGCAACUGCAAGCACAAAAAAAGAGGUGGAAGAAGAACGUCAUAAAUGAGAGAGUGUAGAAUCUAAACUUAAAAAAGUGCAAGAGCAACUUGAGGAGGAGCGAAAAAAUCUAGAAGUCAUGAAAGCUCAUGUAGGAUUCGUGGAAGUCCGCGUAGGACGUGAGCAGAAAAUGUUAAAAGAGGGCAUGUUAGGACUUGCAUCCAUUAUACAAAGUUCCCAGACUCGGCUUCCUGCUGCAUUUUCAUAUUAUUACAAAUUUAAGUGGUUCAGAUGAGGCAAGUCCUGCAAAUCCUAUGGAUGAUAUCAUGGUAAGUAAACUCCACCUAAGUCAUGUAAAAGUAAAUUUCUUAUCGCGCCUGACAUAAGUAGAUACAUCUUAGAAGGAACAAGAGCACUGGAAAGAAUUGUGUUAAUUCAUGAAUGCCUGUACUUCAAUAACCAUCUUUCAUCCUAAGUAAUUAUUUGAUAAAUUUCAACUAAAAAACUCUGGAAAAAUAUAUAUCACAAUAUCUGGAAAACUCCACCCCACAUGAUCUUUACUGUUUUAUAUUCAGGAAACGAAUUUAAUGGCAUCGAAGAUUAGAGUACACAAUUAUUUAUUUAUGAUCAGCCCAGACCAGAAGUACGAGCCAAAGGGAAAUUAAAAGAGGAGCAAUAAAUUGAAGAAUUAAAAGGAAACGUUAACCAAUUAGUAAGCAAAUCCAAUUAUAUCUUUGUACGAGUAACUAACUUGUUAAAUAGUGAAGUAUUUUGUUGGAGCCCUACUUAUUGUUAUAGGGAUCAGGUCCUAUAUAUGCAUCUGCUAAAAAUAGAAAAACUUAUUUUUUAGUCAAAGUAAAGUGAAUAAAAUCAGUAAUUCAUACUCAGGUUUUGGAAUAAACGGGAUCUCAGUUCAUAUUCCGUUCCAUUAACUUCCUAGUUUAAACUUUCCAACUGAAGAGAAGACCCCCAGAAAAGGAAACAAGGAAAAAGAAAAAGGAAAACUUGGUUUCAAUUAGUAGAAGAAUAACAUAAAAUAUGCAAUUAUAUACUCCACUUUCAAGAAAAUUCUCUCCAACUCUAUAACACUUUUCCUCAUGAUUUGAUCUAAAUAUUUGGCCAGCAUGCAUGGUAAAUGUUUAGUUGUCAAGGUUUAAGACUGAAAAAGAUGUAACUGAAAAAAAUGUGUUUGUAUGUUUAAGACUGGUCAAGGUUUGCUCAGAUAUACAAACAAAAUAGAGAUCAUAUUACAUUUCCUAAAUAUUAGUUAUCAACUGAUUGUAUGAUAUAACAUCAAAAUGUUCUCGAGUUUCUUGGAGAUGUAUUUAUCUAAAUUAUAUGAAUGGUGUGAUGAAUCUUGUAUCCUUUCUCUGUUAACUGGUAUACUAAUGGAGAUAUCUCUUCAUGCUUUUUAUGAUGAAUGGCUUAAAACUUUGACAUGUAUAAUUUCUAAAUUCAUUAUUCAGUUUUAUCUGUUGUAUCUCGAUUUAAUGUUUGUUCUAUAUAGUGUUUUUCACUUUGGAGCUUUGACAGAUUGGUAAAUGUGAGGUUUUAUGUUGAGGUCAGAAAUUCUCCGUCCUUGUUGGGGGAAACCACGAGAUUGUAAAUCUUACCUUUAAUACUUGAUUGGGUUGGGUUCUACUGAUUGUGAACACCU